AGAGUAUGUAGUAAGUACAAUGCAGUUUAUGUUAUAGUUAAACGUUUUGCUUUAGUGCAGAAUGCCAAAGUACAGUAUAGACAGUAAAAAAUGCAGAAAGAGAGCGAUCACAUGCUUCUGUAGUGGAUAAAACCCAACAGAUGCAGGUGAGACUCGUCAGAUGAAACCUGAAUGAAGGCUUUGAGGUGUGUGUGUGUGUGUGGAGGGAAGCAGUGUCUCUUUUUUAUGAGCUCUUCUUCAGUAUAAUUGCUCCCUGCCUCUUCCUGUGUUCCACGCUGAUGGAGGGGAGGGCUCAACUUCUGACGUUAUACAAAUAGGAAUUCCCUUCGCUGGUCUCUCUCACUGCGCUCUCAUUCACUUUCACCCUGUCUGGCCCCCAGACGAACUCUCUCUCUCUCUCUCUUUCUCUCUCUCUCUCUCUCUCUCUCCUAUAUAAACACUCAUAGCGUCUAUACUGGAGCCGGACACUCCCUCUGAGACACAACUGCUAUAAGGUUCCUCUCACGCUCUGAACGGAGGAGAUACAGAGAGAGAGAGAGAGAGAGCAGUCAGAUCAUCCAGCAUCGAAGAGGUCUGUGGUGUAGUUGUAGGACUGACUUUUUGAGUUUAGCCAGACAAGUGAUCCACUUGAGCGUCCAGAGGAAAGGUCAUCCGUAAAUAGUUUCAUUGAAUGGGCCGUCGGAGCGACUGCGAGACAUCUGUCAGCCAGACAUGAGCUCGGGGCGGCGUGAAGCGGAGGUCAUAAAAACGCUCUCAAAACAAGGAGUGCGAUGAUGAGGCCAUGGAGAAAAGCUCAAACAUUCUUCUCAUUGUUCUCAAGUCUCGGAAGACCGUGCCAGACGCUGCACAGCCAAAACAACUUUCAGAGGAAGGAGCAGGGGUGGGGGGAAAAGUGUGACAAAAUCAGAAAGGCCAAGCCGGGAGUGUUAGACGAGGUGCCCGAACUGGAGCGAAAGCAACCUGAGGUGAUUAUUCAUCUUGUGCUCGUUGAGCGUAAGAAUGAGAAAAAAUAUAGUCAAAUGGCUGAAAGAUGUGUAAUAUUGAAUAAUAUAUGUAUUUAGUAUAAUAUUCUGCAUAGCACAGUAUGAUAAAGUGUGUAGUAGAGUAUACUAUAGUAAAAAAAAGCCAUGUUUUAGUGUGUAUUAUAGUGAAGUGUGUACUGUAGUGUAGUAAAUUGUGUAGCAUUGAAGUGAAGUGUAUAGUGUUACAUUAGUAUAGUUGAGUAUCAUGAUGUUGAUAUUUAUAAUGCCUUUUAGUCACAUUUAGCAGAUUGGAGCUGGGCGAUAAUAUAGUUUACGUUUUUGUGUUGAUACAAGCAAUCAAGGCGUUGAGAUAUGCUAUAUAUGUUAUACAGUAUACACUAAAAAAUGCUGGGUUAAAAAUAACCCGAGUUGGGUUGAAAAUGGAAAAACCCAGCAAUUGGGUUGUUUUAACCCAGCGAAUGGGAUCAAUGUUUAGCCAACCUGCUGGGUAGUUUUAUUUAACCCAACUAUUGUUUAAAAAUUACUGUAUUGCUUGCUUAAAAUGAACCCAAAGUAUGUUGGAAAUUAACAUUUAUUAAUAUGUUUAAUAAAUGAAUGUUUAUUGAUAAGUUUAAUGAAUAUUAAACAUGCUUAUUAAUAAAUGUUCACCAUUUAUUAUUGUUGCUUCUAGUAAUUAUGUCUGAUUUUUAAUUUCCAACCUAUUUUGGGUUCAUUUUAAGCCAGCCAUAUAGUAACUUUUAAACAAUAGUUGGGUUAAAUAAAACUGCCCAGCAUGUUGCGCAAACAUUUAAGCCAACCGCUGGGUUUGUCCAUUUUCAACCCAACUUGGGUUGUUUUUAACCCAGCAUUUUUUAGAGUGUAUGUUUGCGAAUGAAGUUGGGCAUACUUAUAUAUCCAACUUUAUAUAAAGUGCUGGGCUAAUAUAUUAUACACAGUGUAUAAUACAGUAAAGAAAGCCACAAAAGUUAUUCAUCUUCUCAUAAUGUGCACAUUAAACCUAAAAAAAUGAGACAGAGAGACACAGGGAAGGAUCAAAGGUCUGGAAACAGGCCCGUCCCACUUUUUUUUUCGGGGAGCACAGGAGUUCUCAGGACUGGUACAGAGAUUAGGAAACUGUGUGCAAGUGGAACAAGUGUGAUGGAUUCCUGUAUUUGCUGCUGAGUGUUUUCUUCAUGGCCUCUAUGCUGAAGUUAAUGGCUACUGCUGAGGAUUGGGUGUAAUAGUAUCUGGAGUAAAGUUACAGACACAUUAGGGAGAGAACGAUGAGCUUGUGAUUUCAUGCUCUUCUUUAAAAGGGAACGAGCAGCUUUGUGCACAUGCGAGUGGGUUUUUCUCUGCAGUAAAUGCCAAUGCAGAAGUUGUAUUUGAUGUCAUUCACUUCGGUUUUGAGUUAAAAGAAUGAAGUUGCAACAAAUGAGACGCACAUAUUCCCACGGGCAGGGUGGAGUACUGUAUGCUUAGAGCUGUCAUCAGAAGCCAUCUUUCAGGACUUUUCCUGAGUCAUUAAUUACAUUUAAUCAUCUACUGUUCAGUAGUUUAGAUUUUACAAAAAUGUUUUGUUUCACUUAAAAUAAUUUUAAUUUCACUAAAAUGCGAACUUUUAAAGUGUUGAUUAUCUCAUAAUGUGCAACAAGAUUAAAUAUGUUUAAUUUAUAAAAUAAAUAAUUUUAUAGUUCAAAAUGUAUACAGUUGGUUCUCAUUUAAUGUACACAUAUUUAGAUAUUUAUUUAUACAGUAUUAUAUUUGUGUUCUGGUACAAGCUUAAGGCCUAGCAAAAGUGUAUAAUGAGUAUUGCAACGUAAACAUAGUUUAUGAAAGACACUUCCUGUGUCCUCGAAAACCAAAUGGCUUUAAAAACAACAUACUAGAUGUUGUUUUUUUUAUUUUAAAAAAAUCCAGAAGUUUUCUGUGAUGGGUAGGGUUAGUGUAGGGGGAUAGAAUAUACAGUUUGUACAGUAUAAAAACCAUUACUUCUACAAAGAGUCCCCACAAACCACAUAUACAAGUGUGUGUGUGUAUGCUUAUGUAUAAAAUAUACUGUGUGAGCAUGUGUGGAGCAUCCAACCCUAUGUCCAGAUUUUAAGAAGGCCUAGUAUCAGAUUCCCUACCGCGGCUAAAGGAAAAAUCAAAUUUGCUGGCAACUAUACAGAUCUGGUGUGCAUCAGAGCAAAUGGGAUAUUAUGGGUACUUUUUCUCCAGUCCCUAAAAUUAGCUGCAACACUGCAGGAUGAAAGUGUGACUUCUCAUCAUGAGGACAGCCGUAAAAAGUCAUUCCUGCUCUGUUCCUCUGUGAGGUGUAACCGCAUCGACUGCAUCACGCCAGACGCCGUCAUUAGUGAGAGGAAAGACUGAGAUCACUGGCAACUGCGCCUUCAAUUUAGUGGGAAAAGGCUGAAAGGAAAGAUCUGAUGGAAAAUAUUAAUGGACAGAGAUCUUCCCGUUUGCAAGGCGUCACUUCAUCAAGUCUCAAUUGAGCUGGGUGGAUGAUUUGAAGCAUUCGAGAAUCGGGAAAAUACAUCACAGCUUUUCAGAUAGUGCAGAUGCCCUUUAAAAGCAAUAUUCAGUCCUAAUGCAUCGUUUUUGGUUGCAGUCUCGCUUGGAAAGGCACGUUUGUGUGUGUGGAAAAUGCAUAAUGAUGUUUCUAGGGGGAAAAUAUUAUGCUUUAAACUCUUUUGCAGCUUUCUGCAGCUGGUGAGGUCAAAAAUGUCUGAAUGUCAUUACAUUUUAUAUAAAAAAUAAAAAAUAAAAAAAACAAUCGAACCUUUUAAUAGAAGGAUACCACAAUCAAGCUUUUCAAUCAAAAAAAUUCUCAAAAAGGAAGUUUGUUAGGUUUUGAAUGGUAAAACAAUAGAUAAACUUUUGAUAGACUGACAAAAUAAAUAAAUUUUGUGGUUGUGAAUUGUUAAACACAUCCAUUGUUAAUGUGAUGAACUACACCUUGGGUUACUCUAUUGGACACCUGUGUGAACUUCAUACACCACUAAAAAUUGCCGAAACACUAGUUGAUUAAAAGACAUUGUGCAAAACUGAUGAAAAAAAGUGAACUUAGAGGAGAGAAAAGAUCCUACAGCAUUUAAGACGAACACUUGCUUUGAUAUUUUGUUAUUCAAUGAUAAUCUGACAUUUUUAAUUGUGGCAAACUGUCCAAACUCUUUUUUUUUGGGGCCUGUGCGUGUAAGACUGACGGGCCACAUCCUCUGAUCAGCAUCUAAAUGACUGUCUGUCACACUCAACUGCAAAGUCUCGUCUUGCAAAGUUACUGGGGAAAAACCUGAAAAAAAAAAAAAGUGCGCCACAAACAGUCAGCGCUCUAUAAGUACUGGAGGACUUUGUUUAGAGCUGGUGGGUUUACUCACGGCAUUAUCCAGGAUAUUUUAUGUAGAGACAUAAACAUAAUGCUCCAGGUUUACGUAAGCUAGGAGUUCCCCUCCGUCUGGACAUAUUCAAGUCCUUUUUUUCAAGACUGACAUUUGCAUUGACAACUGCGAGAGGCUUUAAGGAACUGGAACGAUUCUGUUGACUGGUUACGAUGCUGUAAAUGUUCCUUCAUAAAUGUUUAGAGGGAAAACAGUUUGAAGAGAAUGCAAAGUGACAUGUUACAACUGGAAAAUAUGUUUCUGCUUUUAAAAAAUCCAAACUGAUGAAUAGCUGUAGGAAAGAUCGCCGUAAUAGACUUCAAUGAGGUGAAAUGAAGAUGUUUCUAGAGAAACAUACCAUAUUCUCAGAUGGAUCUUCACUAGUACAGAUCUCAAUAAUGUCUCAAACAGAGCUCACAUUUGCCAAGAUCUCAAUAUUAACUCAAACAUUUGUCCAGUUUCCAAACAUUGAAAAACAUCUGAGAUGAAGCUGAUACUGAAAUAAAGCUUAACAGAGUCUCUUCUGAGCAAUACAGUUUUUCCUCUGAAAAUAAAGUAAACUCUUAAAACAGCAAGAAUUUCCAACUGUGAAACAAGUGUCUGUUCUUCUGAGGCUUUAUCUGAGCGAAUGAGUGGUCCUGCAAGAUACACUAGAUCUUCACAGGUUCUGCCUGAUUUUUGUCACUCUUAAAAUUUUACUCUAGAUGAGACACAAUAUUUUGAACAGAGCAGCAUACUUAGCUUUUUUAUGGGCACUCGGCGGGGACUGCACGUCUUUCUGACCUCAUUUCAAGCUGUCAUUGAAAAGCUAUUUUUAUAAGUCCACAGGAAGCCCAGUCACCCAGACGCUAGCAGAAGGAGGGGCCAGCCGCAAUGACCACGGACUACAUGACAAAAUAUUAGGAGCCCUUGGAAGAGAUGCACACAUGCACUUAACAUGUUAAAAUUACAAGUUCAGUCAAAACUUUAAAUGUCAUCAUUUACUCACUUUUAAACCUGUUUGACUUUCUUUCUUCCAUGGAACACCAAUGAAUCAUUUUAUACUGUUAAGUUCCAAAAAGAACAAAAAAGUACCAUAAAAGUCCAAAUACUCAUAGUCUACAUUCUAUUCACUGCAGUUUCAGCUGACAUGAACACUAUAGUGGCAGUAAAACACCAACAACUUUUAUUACUUUUCACACAAAUUGUGAUUACAGGGGCAGAUUAUUGAUUAAUAAAGACUUAUUGUCAAGCAGUUCCUUGAUUACAAAAUGCUGUUAUGACUUCAAAACACUUUUACCGUAGUGGAUGAUUUGUAAACUAAUACAUUUUGACGUUUGAAUCACAUAACUAGCUCCAUAUGUACGGCUUUUCUGAUGUAGUAAACUUGCUCGGUAGUUUACCUGAUACAGCAUUUCACUUUCGAUUCACUUCACUCAGGAGUCCCGUGAAACACUGGUCACAACACUCGAUAAACAGCUCAAAAACGUGAAGUAGCAAGCUAAAAUGGCAAUGUUGCAUCAGCAAAUCUGUUUUUUUUUUUUAUCCCGCGUUUACUUUUGUAAACACCUUCGGUUAUAUGGGUUAGUCUAGAUGGUAGAUUAAUUUCAAACGCGAUAGAGCAUUAACUUUUUAGCGCCACUCAUCCUACGUUAAAUAUACGAACUGAACUAACGUACGACAAACAACAUAUUAAAACGUUGCAAGAUUCCCGUUCAUCUGUUUUAAAUAAAACUGAAUAUGCGCUUUUUGCGCCACUCACCGGACAUUUCAACAAACAAUAAAGCGUUGACAGAUUCAUGUUUAUAUGUUUCGGAUAAUUCUGAGCUUGCUUUUAGCGCCACUCACUGGACAUUUCACUUUUAAAGCCAAGAAACAUGCAAGAAGCAAACGUAAUAUCAUUUAGCAGAAAUGUCGCCACAUGCAUGUUUUUGCUUCAGAACUCCUGGACUUAGCGCACAAUUACUUCUCUGGUUCUUUUCUGUCCUUUUAAGAGUUUAGCGUCAUGUUUGUGUUCACUGUACGGAAAAGAACAGCACCGACAUUCUCCUAAACAUGUUCCUCAAAAGAAAAGAAAAAAGAAAGUCCUAUAGGUUUGGAUUGAACAACACAAGGGUGAGUAAAUGAUGACGUUCCAUAGCUUUCAUUUUUUUCGAACUCUCCCCCUUUUUUUUGUCCCGUCUGUUUGCUAUCUGUCUGCUGUGUUGUUUGCUGUUCUCACAGAGCCCUCGUGCUUGAUGUGUUAGGAGGACAGAUAUAGAAGUGUAGGACCAAACCUCAGACAGAAUGACAUAAACCUGGACCCUCCUCUUCUGCCGGCCAGGGGAAUUCCUGGCAGAGUGAUUUUUAAACCUAAUGACUGAAUCACAUUGCCAGGGAUUUCCAAUGGCCCGUGUGAGGGACUCGACUGGGAGACUGCAGACACGCCAGAUAUAUGCAGCGCAAACACACACACACACACACACACCUGAGCACAUGAAAUGCUAAUCCUGAAGGAAUGCGGACCGCCUCGCGCACACACACAAACACACACACGGGUUAGUGGUGACAGAAGUUCAAAUUCACAUGCAUUUCUAUGGGGGUUGUGUGGUGUCAGGACUUAACCCACUUGUGAACACUGCAUUGAACUUCUAUGUUCACAGUGGUUAAGUUCUGCCAUCCUGGAACCGAAAUCAGCAAAAGGACGAGACUUUGAGUGCUGCCAAUGCCUUUGUUAAUAGCCACUAGUGUCAUCAAACUAAAUGUAUGCACAUUGAGUAUUGUGACAUCCCAUUGCAUUUAUAACGUUCCUUAAAGGGUUAGUUCACCCAAAAAUGAAAAUUCUGUAAUUAAUUACUCACCCUCAUGUCGUUCCACACCUGUAAGACCUUCAUUCAUCUUCGGAACACAAAUUAAUAUAUUUUUGAUGAAAUCCGAGGGCUUUUUGGCCUCUGAUAGACUGCAAUGUUAUUACAACUUUCAAGGUCCAGAAAGGUAGUAAAGAUAUCGUUAAAAUAGUCAACGUGACUGCAGUGCUUCAACCUUAAUGUUAUAAAGUGACGAGAAUACUUUGUGUGCAAAAACAAAACAAAAAUAACGACUUUAUUCAACAAUUUCCUCUCUUCCCUGUCAUUCUCCUACGCUGUUUACGUUGUAGACACAGAGCAGCGCUCCUGGGUUCUACGUCAGAACUACUACUUACUACUGUUGGUAUAGUAUACUAUUUACUUGGAGAAGAAAUUGUUGAAUAAAGUCAUUAUUUUUGUUAGAAAGUAUUCUCGACAUUUCAUAACAUUAAGGUCAAACCACUGCAGUCACGUCGACUAUUUUAACGAUGUCUUUAUUACCUUUCUGGGCCUUGAAAGUGGUAAUAACGUUGCAGUCUAUCGGAGAUCAGAAAGCUCUCGGAUUUCAUCAAAAAUAUAUUAAUUUGUGUUUUGAAGAUGAACGAAGGUCUUAUGGGUGUGGAACGACAUGAGGGUGAGUAAUUAAUGACAGAAAUUUCAUUUUUGGUUGAACUAACCUUUAAAGAACUGCAUAACAGAUGCACUUUUAUGAGGGUCAUCACAGAACGAUAUCUAACUGGCCCCUGUGAAUGAUAAGUCAAUCUCACGCUGUUGUGAUGUGGCUGUUUUUAUCUUGUUAGUACAAUCUUCAUCUCAGAUGUUUAGCACAAUAUACUACAAACAAGCCGUAACCUGAAAAUAAAAAUACUUUGGAUAAACAUCUUUUGUUGGUCUUGGAACAAAUUCCUGCCAAACUGGGUGGGUUUUUUUCAUGUGUCGGACCACCUAACAACGGCAACGCAACCAAUCAAAGUAGUAUACAAAUAUUCACAUUAUAUCUCAUAUUUUGAAAGACUCACUUUUACCCACCCAUAUUUUUCCAGAGUGCUUUUUUGUUCAUAUUUCAUUGAAAUUAACUAAAAAAAAUUUAUUUAUUUAAAAAAAUUGUUCUGACCUGUGAAGUAUUUUGACCUUUUUAUUAAUGUAAUAAUCAUUUAUUAAAGACAUAAAUUAUAAAAUAAAUAAAUGUAUUUUAAAAAAAAAAAAAGGUUAAAAUAAAUGAAAAUAAUUCGGAUACAUUUAAUGUUGGUGCUUUUUGACAGUUUUUGUCUAUAACCCCUCUCAUUACAGUGAAAUGAUUGGCUGAAAUGAACAUUGUUCCAGGACCAAUAAAAGAUAUUGACCCAGGAACACUUAGUCUUACUAAAAUGACUUGGUAAUAGGGAUGCAAAGUUUUACAUCUUUUUAGAUGUUUUGUUUUCAGAUGUUGGAUGUAUUUUGUAAGUUUGCAACUGUUAAUCCUGUUAGUGGAGCUGAAAAAUAUGUGCAUUAAAUAAAAGAAAUCUGAAAAUCAUCUCUUCAGUAUGUGAGUUUUCAAAGUGAAAUGGGGCGACUUGUUGCAAGAGGCCAUAUGAUUGGUACCAGAAUUCAAACUGUCUCAAGUAAUAACAAAAGCAUGAUGUGUUCAUGCAAAUUGGAAUAAACAGCAAAGACAAACUUAAUGUCAAAGUUUACCAACAGGGAUGUUUAGGACAGUUUCUAAGUGACCACACAUGUCCGAACUGAAUCUGAACUUCGGAGGCCCAGUUUCAACAAAAACUCUUCAAAUGUGGCAGAGCAGCCAUUUGGAAACUGUUUGUAUCCAAGGCCCAAACGAUGUAUUAAACGCAAAACAAUGGGGGGAAAAUGGUCCAGUGAGUCAUCUUUUACCGUAUUUCCUGCAUCCAGGCAGGUUUAUCUUACGAGAAAAGCCAAAGGAUGCCUGCAGCCCGCAACGCCAGCUGUGAAACAUGGUGGGGGAUCUGUAAUUGGACAGGCAGAAAUCCUUUGGUAAUUGGAUCAUGUAACAGGGACCCAGGUUCACAAACAUCAUCCUAUCAUAAUGUUCCCAUAUAUACGGCUAGAAUUCAAGAGUUAUUUUAGGAACGUCAGAAUCAAGUCAAACUUCCUCCACUGGCUGCUUGAUGCCAAACCAAAACAUCAUUGAACCAUUACAGAAAGUUCUGAGGAACAUAGUUUCUCCUUUCACUCUCAAAGAACUGGAGGUUUUUCCUCAUGAAGGACAAUGUGCUGAAGCUACUGUGAAUGCAAAGUGUGGCGUCUAUGAAGGACUUGAUAGAUAUUUCCAUUAUUUUAUCCACCUCAUGUUGAAGCAGAUCAAUGAGAAUGGUUUCAUACGAUUUCUGUCUAUCUGCUUGUUUUUCUCCGUGGUAAACUAAUAUUGUUGGCAAAAAUGUUUUCGCUUCCCCCCAUAUAUAUAUAUAUAUGUAUGUGUGUGUGUGUGUGUGUGUGUGUUUAUAAAUAUUGUUUAAUUCAUUUUGUUUAAUUAUAUAUAAUAUUAUUUUAUGUGUACAAUUAUUAUAUUAAACAAAUAUACAUCAUGGAAAUAUUUUUGAACAGCAUUUAACUUACAUUCAUUUAAAUAAAUUUUAUUACGUUACUGAAUUAAAGUGCUGAGAAUCUAAUGUGACUCAAAAGUAAAAUGUUUGGAUACAUUAUGAUAAUGAGAACUAUGGAAUAUUAUUUAUGUCUUAAUGCAAAAUAUUAUUUUUAUUUUUAUUUUGGCGUAAUGUGACAUGAGUCCUAAAUACUUGAGGUUAUUGUGACAGUUUCAUUCUCCAUGUCUGUUUCUCAGUUUCGUAUGUUUUGGUGCAUGUUGCUUGUGUGCUGCCGUGUUGUUGUGUGUGUGUUGGUCUCUCUCUCUCUCUCUGUUCUACCUCAGUGUGCUGGUCUCUCUCUCUCUGUCCGCUCUUCAUCAGUGGGCUGGUCUCCUGUGCCUGCUGUGCUGAUAAUCAGUGGAUCGCUGCAGCUGGCUCAGUUCAGCAGGAACAGGGGCCUGGUCUUCUCUCUGUGGCCUUCUGCUCCAAACACACUGAUAACACAGAGAGAGGACUCUUAUCCACAGCACAAGCUACAGGUAUGACAAUGCAAAAUACUUAUCCAUAAAUUCACUCUUUAUAAUGAUAAGAACAUUUAAUAUCCACACUCUGCCCAGGUAUAACAAUAGUUAAAUAAUGUAAACAAUAUACAUGAAUUCAUUUGUUUGAUAUGUACUGUAUUUUCUAUUUUAACACUAUGAAUAAAAUACUAUUAAAAAUCCAUCUUACUAGUGUGUCCACCUUUUUUGCUGAAAAAGAAAUUGUAAUAAAAUUGAUAUAUAUUUUAUAAAAUUAAAAGAAAGAUUAAAACAGAGAUUUAUUAUAUAUAUUUAUAUUUUACAUAAAUAUAAUAUAUACAAAUAUAUAUGUAAUUUAUGUAAAAUAUUUAAAUUAUGAGAAAAAAAACUGGUGUCUUGCAUGGCUUAGCUUUCUUUCUUUUUUGUGAAAUAACUAAGAAAUUGCAAUCAGUUAUAAAUUAUAUAUAUAUAUGUAUGUGUGUGUGUGUGUGUGUGUGUGUGUGUUCAACAUUUAAAGUGUUAGUUCACCCAAAAAUUAAAAUUAAUUCAUUCAUUAAUUACUCACCCUCAUGUCGUUCCACAUCCGUAAGACUUUCGUUCAUCUUCAGAACACAAAUUAAGAUAUUUUAAAAUAAAUCUGAGAGAUUUCUGUCCCUGCAUUGACAGCCUACUCAACUACCACUUUGACGUUUCAAAAAGUUCAUAAAGUGAUUGUAAACCUAAUCCAUAUGAAUAGAGCAUUAGAGACUGAAUUUAGGCUUUUAUUCACAUAUGGUAUAAACAUUGAUCAGUGAACAUAAACAGAAGCUGAACUGCACUUGACACGUAAGAACAAACCUCAUGAUGAAGCUCAAACGUGCUGCAUAACACGAUAAUGAACCUCAUAUGAACUUUUUGAAGCAUAAAAGUGGUAGUUGCGUAGCUGUCUAUGGACAGAAAUCUGAAAGAUUUUAUUAAAUAUAUCUUUAUUUGUGUUCCGAAGAUAAAUGAAAGUCUUACGGGUUUGGAACGAGGGUGAAUAAAUAAUGGUUCCUGAAUAUAUACCAUGUACUAGAAGUUAUCUUGAUAAAUAUAUCAGGUAAAUGGCUUUGAGUAGAAUAAUAAAUGCUCUGACACACAAAGCCAAUGAGACCGUUCUCAGGGACACACCUUGUGAUCCAGCAUAUCCCAAAACUGCUCUAUGGAUGUACAGUAACUGUGGCUCUGUUCCAACAGCAAAUAAGUUGCCUGCGGAGGCGGUAUUUUAAGGCAUCAUAGGUGCACUCCCGAUAUGAAUAUUGUGUCUUGUAAGACAGGGAUCUCAUUUUGGCCCGAAAGGCAGCAUCACAUAUAUCAGGGGUGACCAAACUCGGUCCUGGAGGGCCACUGUCCUGCAGAGUUUAGCUCCAACUUACCACAACACACCUGCCUGGAAGUUUCCUGUAUGACUAAACAAAGCCACCGGAAGGCAGGCCUGCAAACUUUAGCCAAAAAAGCGUAACAGUUAAUGCUAACGCUCCGGCGGUACGCAGGGAAGGAGUUUUGAAUGGCGGGCACUGACGUCACUGCCAUUACACAAUAGGCUGAGAGGUGCCGCACAUCAUUAAGUUAGCCGUUACGCUUUCUCCAAUGGUAAGAGAUACAGACCCUCUUAUCUCCCUAUCAUAUACAAUCUCUGGCCUAAAAACCUUGCUUAGCUGGUUCAGGUGUGUUUAAUUGGGGUUGGAGCUAAACUCUCCAGAACAGUGGCCCUCCAUGAGCAGGAUUGGACAUCCCUGACAUAUAUCCUUCAUGGAAAAGCUAAAUGAGGGCCUUAGAAAAAAACAAAACAAAAAAAACAGACAGCUGUUUGUGAAACUAGUUUUUGGUAGGCUAUUUGCAUUGCAGAGAAUGUCAUGUUUCUUUUCAGUCUAUACUUAGAAAAGAAUGUCGUAAGUGUUAUUUUUCAGCACCUGUCCCUUUUGUUUGUUCAUCAUUUCUCUUCUGCUUCUAUGUCACGUUCAAUUCUCUGUUAAAUUCCCCUAACGGUAAACAGUGAAAUGUGUCAAUGGCUUUUAUUUUUAUUCCAGCUGCGACUGAGGGGCAAACAAUUGGAAAAUACAGCAAGUGACCAUGGAAACGAAAAUACAUACACAUACAAUACAUACAAAUACAGACAUUUCAAUGUUUGAUCGCCAAGCCACAAGAGGAACUUUGGUCUGAGUUGAUCUGAGUGCAGCACAUACAGCAGCCUGCAUUAAACAAUACCUGCCAGCAUGUUCCUCUAAAAUUGUAUUAAUUAAAACUAAUUUUAAAAAUUCUAAUAAAAAAAAACAUACAUCAUGUAUUAAUAUAUAAAUUAUUAUAUAAAUAUAUACAUUUUUGCUGUUUUCAUUUUUUGUAAAAAAAAAAAAAAAAAAAAAACAUGAAAAAUUAUUUACAUUUAAAUAUAAAAUAUACAACAAUUAAAAAAAACAAUAGUAAUAAAAACCAUACAUACAUAAUAUAUUAAUAUAUAAAUGAUUAUAUAAAUAUGGGCAUUUUAGCUGUUUUUAUUUUUUUGCAAAAAACAUGAAAAAUUAUUUAAUAUAGAACAAUUUCAAAAGAACUAAUAUACAGUUGCAAGAAAAAGUAUGUGAACCACUUGCAGAAUCUGUGAAAAUGUUAAUAAUUUUAACAAAAUAAGGGAGAUCAUACAAAAUGCAUGUUAUUUUUUAUUUAGUACUGUCCUGAGUAAGAUAUUUUACAUAAAAGAUGUUUACAUAUAAUCUAUAAGACAAAAAAAAUAGCUGAAUUUAUUAAAAUGAGGGACUCAAACACAACUUUUAAAAAAGGUUCAAACAUUCACUGAUACUCCAGAAAAAAAAACAUGAUGCAUUAAUAGAUGGGGUGUGAAAACAUUUGGAAUUUGAACAUUUGGUAAAUUGUAUUUAAUUUGUCUUCAGGGAAACAUGCAAGUAUUUUCUGUUGCUUCCGAAGGGCAGUACUAAAUGAAAAAAAAAAAAAAUGAUAUUCAAGCGAAAUAAGAAAAAUGUGGACCUCUUCAUCCUGUUCAAAUGUUUUCACCCCCCGACUCUUAAUGCGUCGUGUUUUCUUCUGGAGCAUCAGUGAAUGUUUGAACCUUUUUUAAUAGUUGUGUUUGAGUCCUCAGUUGUCCUCAGUGUGAAAAGACGGAUCUCAAAAUCAUUCAGUCACUGCUGUAAAGGGUUCAAAUAUGCAAAAGAUGGUGGAAAACUGAAGAAUCUGCAGGACCUGGAGGAUUUUUCUGAAGAACAGAGCUCAGUUUAACUGCUCAGAACAAACAAGGGACUCAUGAACAACCAUCACACAACAAAAAAAAACAAAAAAAAACAAUCGUAGAUCAUCCAGGUAACCACACACAGUAUUAAGAAUCAAUGGUUCACAUACUUAUGAACAGGGCCAUUUUAAUAAAUUCAGCAUUUUUUUUGUCUUAUGCAUUAUAUGUAAACAUCUUUUAUGUAAAAUAUCUUACUCAAGACAGUACUAAAUAAAAAAUAACAUGCAUUUUGUAUGAUCUCUCUUAUUUUGUUAAAAUUUUGCACAUUUUCACAGAUUCUGCAAGUGGUUCACAUACUUUUUCUUUCAACUGUAUAUAUAUUAGUUUUUUUUUAAUGAAGUUUUAUAUAAUGCGUUAUAAUUUAUAUGUAUUGUUUAUGAAUACAUUUUUAUAUAAUUCGUUAAAAUGUAUAUAAUAUUGUUAAAAACUGUAAAUGUACAUAUAUUUAUACAUUAAUUCACAUAUUUUAACAGUAUUUAUUUUGUUUUUUUAACUAUAUUUAACAAUAUUUUACCUUUUGCAGGCGCUAAUAAAUAAAAGGGAAAAAAAUAGCUUUCUAUAUGCAUUCUGUUAUGCAUUAUUAAAUAUUCCAUUAGGCCUUGUUUAAUGAUUAAAUAUAGUUGAAUAAGCAAGGCCACACAUUCAUCAGUCCCUUCAUUCAUGAGAGUCUGUAGUCCAGGUGUGGACAGCUCUGAUGUAAAUCAUGUAAAUCUGCUGCUGCUCAUGUGGAGAACAAGAGCACCGGAUGUUUGCUCACACUAAAGCUGUCUCUAUGGCAACGAAGAAACCCGUCCGUCAGCGCGAGCAGAUGGCUGCGUCAGUGUUCGCACUGACAUCAUCGCACUUCCUGUUUCUAAGAGGACAAUCAGGAGAACUUCUCUAGUUAUUAAGUUAACUAAAGUCACCUCGCGGACUCUUCGCCACGCUUUCACGCAUUUCAGCAGCGUCUUUUUGCUCUCAUAUUAGACGAAAUGACACCUUUGCAGAGUUGUGAUGACAAAGUAGUAGGGGGCGGAUCACCAUGGGAACAUAACAGGAGAGGCAUCCAUGCGGAUCUUUCCCCAAGAGACAGCUUCAUCUGGCCGGGCGCCGGAAUCAGAUCCGUCAAACUCCUGCCCAGUGUUGACAAACACCGCAAAAUCUGCUCCGUUCCUCUAAGAGCCAUGAAAAAAAAAAAAUGAUGAGAUAUUUUAUUCUGAA